CAUCUAGGCGGUCAAUCAAGUCGAAGGUGAAAACUUGUGGCUCAACCAUAAGCUUGCCUACGAAACUGAUUAACUAGAGUACUGAAGAGGUGGACGGAACUACACGAGUAGAGGUGAAAUUCGUAGAUAUGUGUAGGAAUGCCGAUGAUGAAGAUAGUUCACUGGACAGAAACUGACGCUGAAGUGCGAAAGCUAGGGGAGCAAACA
rnacentral:rRNA from 1 species